UUCUCUUCCACCCUUCCCAAGAUUCAUUCAAUCUCUCUCUCUCUCUCUCUUCUCUACGAUUUCAACCUCCAACCUUCUUCUUCUUAAAUCUUCUCCAUUUUUAGUUUCCCUCUGUUUCUUCAUCAUCAAAUUUUUAGUUUCCCCUAUUCCGAUUUGGUUUUUGGAUCUUAAGGCACUGCUUAGGGAGUGUUGUGGUUGUUGGUAUGGGCAUAGAGGGAAACAUAUUGCCACAUUGAAACAAACAGAAACACAGAAAGAAAAAAGAACUGAUCUAAGUCGAAGAGAAGGAGAACGGGAAAGAAACCGACGAACAAACGCCUCACACGAUAUUUUUUCACGAUUCAUUGCAUAUUGAACCAUUCGUCUCAUGUGUCGCCCGGUUGAAAAAUACAAAAUGAGAGGAAUUCCAAUUAUCAGAUCUGGAUGUCUCUUCUUUAUAUAAUUGUGAUGAAAAUUUAUAAAGAAGAAGAUGGAUUAGAAUGUUGUUUGCAGCAUGUGUUGGUGUUGUAUUUUUGAGUUGUUGUGAUGGUUCAAAUUUUAUAGGUUAAGUUUUGUGGAUUAUUGAUGUAAAGUAUCAAUGAAAGUUUCUAAGUUUUGUGGAUUAUUGAUGUAAAGUAUCAAUGAAAGUUUCUACCUAUAGGAUAAUAACUUUCCUGCAAUAUCAAUUUCCAAUGAAUCUGGAUGUCUCUUCCUCUAUAUAAUUGUACUUGAUUAGGGUCUUUUGGGGUUUUUUUUUUUUUG